rnacentral:lncRNA from 1 species
GAAUAUAUCCAAUCAUAUAAUAUAGGUAAUAUUUAGUGAGUCGAUUGUUAGAUGUGGCACACGUGAUUUAUUCAAGACGAUCCAUAAAGAUAUAAUCGAUCUAUUCAAGAUAAUCUAUAAAGAUACAGUAAAUCCAACGGUUAGGAUGUAUCUGGAUAUAUUUUUGAUGGACGAACGUUACUUAACAUCUUUGUAUUAAGUUAUAUACAAAUAUGUAACAUACGGGAGUCUGCUCUAUCUCCAGGGAUAAGAGAAUAGACUUGAAACUUUUCGCUCUUUUGGAGAUCAUAAACAAGAAUGACCCACGAGCAAGAAUCGUCAUUUUCAAUUCGGAUAUAGAAAUCAAAAUCAUGACUGAAAAUACGAUAUUUCUUAUAAAGUUUAACAUCGAUUUUAUCAUGUGACAAACAAUGGUUACUAGUGUAAUAAUUAGAGAAAAAAAUAGAAAAUAGCGAUAAGGGGUAGAAUUUAUCUUACUGAUGAAAUAAGGUAACAGCCGAAGGAACUGGAAGAGAAACAGUUCAACCCAAUGCAAAGAUGUGACCCAGUUUGGCUCAAACAAAAUACAGAAAAAUCCUAUUUGGUUCAAGCAAAGAAAGAGAAAAAUAUAUGAAAAACUUGAGCCAGUUCGGAAGAACCUACACUCAACAAUGAUUAGUUCGGUUUAAAUAAAGAAAGAGAAAAAUUCGGUUCGAUUUAAGCAAAGAAUAUAUAUAUAGAACUAGGCUACUAUGCUAUUAAUAGCACCAAGUCACUGGUGCUACCAAGUUUUCGGCCAUUGGAUUAAGAGAUGUGCGGUUAGGAUGAUGUGGGCCCCCUAGGGUUGAGUGAGUGGUUGGUUGAAUAGUAUGAUCUA